AGAAUCAACGCUGGCGGCGUGCCUAACACAUGCAAGUCGAACGAGAAAGUGGAGCAAUCCACGAGUAAAGUGGCGCACGGGUGAGUAACACGUGACUAACCUACCCUUGAGUGGGGGAUAACCUAGGGAACCUGGGCUAAUACCGCAUAAUACCCACGGGUCAAAGGAGCAAUUCGCUUAAGGAGGGGUCGCGGCCGAUUAGUUAGUUGGCGGGGUAAUGGCCCACCAAGACGAUGAUCGGUAU
rnacentral:rRNA from 1 species